rnacentral:tRNA from 1 species
GGCGGUAUAGCUCAGUUGGCUAGAGCAUGCGGUUCAUACCCGCAGUGUCGUCGGUUCGAAUCCUACUACCGCUA